rnacentral:tRNA from 1 species
GCACCCGUGGCUCAAUUGGAUAGAGUUCCUGACUACGAAUCAGGCGGUUACAGGUUCGAAUCCUGUCGGGUGUACCA